UACGGAGGAUGCGAGCGUUAUCCGGAUUUAUUGGGUUUAAAGGGUGCGCAGGCGGAUUUUUAAGUCAGCGGUCAAAUCGUGGGGCUCAACCUCUUCGAGCCGUUGAAACUGGUUUUCUUGAGUGAGCGAGAAGUAUGCGGAAUGCGUGGUGUAGCGGUGAAAUGCAUAGAUAUCACGCAGAACUCCGAUUGCGAAGGCAGCGUACCGGCGCCCAACUGACGCUGAAGCACGAAGGCGUGGGUAUCGAACAGG
rnacentral:rRNA from 1 species